rnacentral:tRNA from 1 species
UUUUUUGAAGUGUUUCACAUUAUCUUUUCAUGAUAAAAAUAAGCUUUUUGCUUCUUUUUGAAAGC